ACUUCAUUAAAACCAAAACAUAACGUUAGGAAAGAAAAAAAUAAAUAAGAUGGGCAUAAUCAAGGAGGGGGGAGAGUGGGGCGACGACCAGAGUGGGCUAGAGGAUCCGAGCGGCUCGGCUGGGGAUGGGACAAAUGGCCAGGGAAUGGUGGGGUUGGGGAAGAUCUUGCUGGGACAUGGUCGGGUGGUAGGGGUUGUUUGAGAGAGAGAGAGAGAGAGAGAG
rnacentral:lncRNA from 1 species